CCGCCACCGAGGGGAGGAGCCCUGCCGCCACCGAGAGGAGGAACCUCGCUGCCAGAUCUUCAACGCCCCACCGCCGCGAGAACGUCGACGUCCUCCUCCGUCGGUUCGAGGUGGAGUUUUGCAUCUGCUUGCUGCUCACCAUCAACGUCUACACUUUGGCAUCAUCUACCUGGUCUACGCGCUCUUUUUCUCUGUCUAUCUCGACUCAGAGGACCAUCACAAAGAAUAUCACACCCUUGCUUAGCCUGUUGUCGGCUUUGUGAUAACGAUUCGCUAACUAACACCCUCUACAUUCAUCUGGUCCAUGGAGUGUUUUUUUUGUUUAUGUGAACCGUGAACUUGUAGCUGAUUGUAUGAGAUUAUUUGGAUACUUUGCAUGAUCUGGUAGCAACUACCGGUGAAAUUCUUUAGCAUUUUUUUC